rnacentral:lncRNA from 1 species
GGGUACCAUUGCUAGAUGGUCACUUCAAUUAGUAUAGGAAUUGGUUCCUGUGCUACCGGCUUAGGUUCGAACCUGCGGGGUCACACACAUUAGAGGUUCCUAUCUGAUCUGAUGGCUGAUGAAGAGUCCUAAUGCUCGUGGACUAUGAGUCCUACAUGUCUGGGACUCUGUGAUCAAGAAUCAGGAUUCUCUGAUCAUGAGUCCCAUA